GAUGUUGAAAAGAAGUGGUGAGAAGAGACAUCCUUGACUUGUUACUCAUCUUAACCAAAAAGCUUCAAUUUUCUUACCAUUAAGUAUGAUAUUAGCUGUCAUACUUAAUGGUAAGUAUGAGCAGUUGCAUCUCCUUCCGGCUAUUCCCGAGACCAUUAGCCACAGCUGAGAGUCUGAGUGACUGUGAUGCCACAAUAUCACAAGCACUGUCAUCGCCACACUUCACUCAGAAAUUCUACUGGUCAAGCCUCAGCCCAGUGGCAGGCUGUGUGAACCUCAACUCAAUGUCCAUGUCAUCAAAGAACCCAAGAAAGCUCAGUUGGACAAAAAGACCAUCAUCAACCUGUAUUGUUUAGUGAUCUCCUAAAAGAUCCCAAACAUUAAACGUGUGGUGAGGUAUGGUGGAACUUACUCUGAUUUGAAAUGAACCGAAUUUUUCUAUCAUUUCUGCAAAUAGGUGAGGUGAAGAGACUACAAAGCUGAUCAAGAGAAUUUCGGAAGCACAAUAACAGAAGACCCAUCACUAUGGCACACCAUAGCAGUGGUGUUGCUCAGGUAUAUUCUCACUAAUUGUGAAAUAAAGGAAAAUGACUGGGAAGACGGGGCUUUGAGACCAUUGUAUGGUUGCGGUGUGUUG